GAUGAACGCUAGCGACAGGCUUAACACAUGCAAGCGAGGGGCAGCACGGGAGUAGCAAUACAACGUGGUGGCGACCGGCGCACGGGUGAGUAACGCGUAUGACCAACCUACCUAUCAGGAAGGGGAAUAACCCGGCGAAAGUCGGACUAAUACCGCAUAAAACAGGGGCACCGCAUGGUGAUAUUUGUUAAAGAAAUUCGCUGAUAGAUGGGCAUGCGUUCCAUUAGGUAGUUGGUGAGGUAACGGCUCACCAAGCCGACGAUGGAUAGGGGAACUGAGAGGUUGGUCCCCCACACUGGUACUGAGACACGGACCAGACUCCUACGGGAGGCAGCAGUGAGGAAUAUUGGUCAAUGGGCGGGAGCCUGAACCAGCCAAGUCGCGUGAAGGAAGAAGGAUCUAUGGUUCGUAAACUUCUUUUGCAGGGGAAUAAAGUGCAGGACGUGUCCUGUUUUGUAUGUACCCUGAGAAUAAGGAUCGGCUAACUCCGUG
rnacentral:rRNA from 1 species